UACAGAGGGUGCGAGCGUUGUCCGGAAUCACUGGGCGUAAAGGGCGCGUAGGUGGCGGGACAAGCGUGCGGUGAAAGCUCGGGGCUCAACCCCGCGUCGGCCGUGCGAACUGUUUUGCUUGAGCACUGUAGAGGCAGGCGGAAUUCCGGGUGUAGCGGUGGAAUGCGUAGAGAUCCGGAAGAACACCGGUGGCGAAGGCGGCCUGCUGGGCAGUAGCUGACACUGAGGCGCGACAGCGUGGGGAGCAACAGG
rnacentral:rRNA from 1 species